rnacentral:rRNA from 1 species
UACGAAGGGGGCUAGCGUUGUUCGGACUUACUGGGCGUAAAGGGCGCGUAGGCGGUGUGUCCAGUCAGGCGUGAAAGCCCCGGGCUCAACCUGGGAACCGCGCUUGAGACUGGCACGCUCGAGUUCGGGAGAGGAUGGUGGAACUCCCAGUGUAGAGGUGAAAUUCGUAGAUAUUGGGAAGAACACCGAUGGCGAAGGCAGCCAUCUGGACCGACACUGACGCUGAGGCGCGAAAGCGUGGGGAGCAAACAGG